GCGUGUUGACGUCAUGGGAAAUAUUCCUGUCAAGUGGCGGCGGCGCUGUUUGAAUCAAUUUGUCUACGUCGUCGAUCUAAAUAUGAAUGACUAACGAACUAACAAUUCAGACGUGAGUUAUUGGAUGGCGGGAGCAAACAAGAAUGUAUUGCGCAGAGCUUUCACCAACUCACCCGCUGCCAUAAAAGAAAAAGAACGGUGGGAAAGAUUUGCACGAUGCGGUGGCGCUGGCUUCCCCCGUCAACAGUGGGGGCAAAGAAAAUUCAGGUGAAGGUUUCCAUAGGGGCGAUCGGUGAUCCGGGUAAGUUGAAUAUAUUUUCUCUGGUGUUUUCUUUUUUUUUUUUUGGGGGGGGGGGGGAUUGAAUUAAGAUGGCAGCAAGCCCGGCAGCGAUUGAAACACGAGCUACGCUAUAUACUGCCAUCUUGGUGUUUUUGUUUUUAACGACCGUCGUUAAGUUGCGGUCAAAACCCUGGUCGAUGCGCCAGUUGCCAUACAGAAGAAGAUUGCCAGUAGCCCGUUAAAAACAAAAGAGAGCGAAGGUUACUUGUUUAUCAUC